AAAGCGCGCGUAGGCGGUCCAUCAAGUCAGAGGUGAAAGCCCGGGGCUCAACCCCGGAACUGCCUGCGAAACUGGCGGACUAGAAUCUUGGAGAGGCGAGUGGAAUUCCGAGUGUAGAGGUGAAAUUCGUAGAUAUUCGGAAGAACACCAGUGGCGAAGGCGACUUACUGGACGACUGUUGACGCUGAGGUGCGAAAGCGUGGGGAGCAAACAG
rnacentral:rRNA from 1 species